ACUGUUUUUUACAGGUGUGAGUCUACAGUCUGAUCUUAGCCAGCUUGAACAAGGUAUUUUUAACCCCCCCCCCCAGGAAACUGAGUGAGUGGAAGCCACUCCAGUGUUAUUAUUAAAGACUUAAUAACGUGGAACUCUGUGGACUCCUCCCUAGGGGAAUGAGUGGAGAGAGAUGGGGGCAGGGUUGACUUCGUGCAAACCUGGACAGCAGAGCAAAGGAACAUUGAACACUCACUGGGCUUUUCUUGCUUCUUUUCUGUGAGUUUGGAAAAAAAAAAAAAAAAAAAAAAAGCAUGAUCCACAGGCAUUUCCCCCCAGAAAUCCUAUUUCCAUGAUUAUAGCUGAAUAUUUGCCAUUUGUGAUGCAGACCUGAAGCCAGAGGACAGCCCUGAGGAAGGAACCUUAAACUAAUUGAGGCAGGUCCCUGGGAAUGCUGCCUGGGGUGAUAGAGAACAUUAGUUUCUAUUUUCCAAUCAAACAUUGAACACUCAAACAACUGGAGGGUAAGUUUACUUUUCCUCACUUUUUGUCCAGGAGUGGAAAAAAAACCCUAAAGAUAUUAUCUAGGAUCCUAAUGGACACCCCCACACACACACCACCCCCUAAGAGUGCACGUCACAUGAGUAAAUGAGAAAGGCUGAGUCAUCCACCUCCCCUCACAGUGGGGAGCAUGAUGCGUCGGAGGGCUGACGCAGCUCUUUGCUCCUCUGCACAGAGCAUCCCGUGCCUCCUUGACCCACGGGAGUCCGCAGUGAAUCGUGCACUCUCGUUACCUUCAGACAGUAACCCCGUGAGCUAACUGGCAUUACCUGUGCUUGACAACCAAGGAAACUGAGCCUCUCAGACAGCUAUGAGAACUUUGCUCAAGGUCACCCAGCUUCUCAGGGGCAGAAGCAAGACUACUGAUAGGCCGGUCCAGUUUCCAGUCUCAUCCCCGGCCCCUCCCAGCACUGCCUGGACGGUGGCGGUGGAGCUGAGAGCUCAGUGUCCCAUGCUGCUGCAUCCUCCAUUGAAUAUGAAGCUCAACCUGCCGCACAGAUCUGUAAAUUAGUAGGCGGUGUCUAAAUUGUAUUGGGAGCAUUUGUGGCAAUGAAGCACCCGUGGGGAGGUGGUAGAAAGGAAGGGGAAAUGCAGUUAGGUCUGUUAUUCCAGGGUCAGCCAUUCUCAAGCUUGAUGUGACAUUGGCACCCUGCCGUGUCUUGUGACCUGAAUAAUUAAUAUUACUGGAUUUCAGGCGCUGUUUUCUCAUGCCUGGUCACUGAAUGCCACCUCUUUGCAGACAGAGAAGCUUGAAGAACAUGCCCAAGGUCUCUGGGACGCUGAGCAGCAGAGCUGAGGCUCGUGCUUAUUCUGCCUCCCAGUGACACCCUGUCCUCUCCCCAAGGGAAGUCACCUACCUUUCCGGCUGACGUAAGCAGUCCUCUGCAGAAGGGGCCACUUCAGAGGUGCUGCCCCUCCGAGUUGUACACCAGUAGAUAGAGGGUGAAGUUUUGUGCUCCCAGCCAGCGAGGCUGGGCGACACAGACCUCCUCAUUCUCUGCCGCAAGGAGAAGUGCAAAGGGCUGCAGUCCCUUGCAUGUGAGCUGGGAUUGUCUGGUAACAUUGCAACAAGGUCAGAGGAGGAAUAGACAGGAGGAGGCGCAGGGAAGGACAGGGAGGAAGGAAUACGGGCCAGGUGCAGAUAGACAGCUAUGAAAACGCCAUCCUGAAGCCCAAUGUUUUGUAUGCUAACUAAAAACACUUAGUUUUACAUUUCAACACGGGAAACUGGUUCUCUUAGCAUUCACGUAACCACCAUCAAAGCUGUAUGUACUUUUAAGGGCACUGACUGGUAUUGUUCAUAGUAGCAAAAGCUAGAAGCAACCAAAUGAGCAGUGGGGGAUGGUUGGUGUGCAUAAAGAAGGUCCCUACUCCCAGCUGAGGAACUCUCCACAGGGAGACAUCUGCCUGGCUCAGGAGAGGCUUCUUGAGAGAAAAUGCUAGUCUCUCAAGAGCACUGUAUCAAGACUAAAUACUCUAAAUAGAACAUCUCUGGAAAACUAUACAGAUUUAAAAAUUAAAAAAACAAAAACCAACAACUUAAGUCUUGAUAAAGUCCAGCUACGUAGCCAACCGGGAAGCCCCGUCCUUGGUCUUCUCAGAGGUCCUGACCCUGCCUGCUGUCUGUGCCACCGUGUCGAGGCCCCCUGAGGCGGCAUUAGUUGGCCAGUCUCUCCUUGGUGCCAUCCCUGCAGAUGGAUGUAAGCAACCUCUCGCGGCAUCCCGGCUUCACACAGAAUCAUCUCUCUGAAACAACAACAACAACAAACAGGAGAGACCGGCCGAAAGAUGCCGUUUAAAAAUAAUGCGGUUACUCAUGGAACUGGAUGCGCUUUUGACUGUGAAGGAGACGGGCAGGGAACUUUAGCUGAGGACCGGUGAGGACAUGACCCACGUUAGGCUCUUUUCUGCCUAACGACUCAGAGGACGUCUCUCAUUGGCUGCAGGAGAGAGCUUCUCUCCAUCUCAUUGGCUGGGACUUUGCCAGCCGGGCCCUUUGUCCUCUGCUAAGCCCGUGGCAGGUAUUCCAUUGUGGUCAAAGUGGCUGCAGCUUGGGAGUCCAGAAAUCCAGGUUCUAGAGCUACCCCGUGUCCCCGACAGAAAAGCAGUUAUCCCACACCAGUGACACCAGCAUCUUUGCCUCCUUCGAGAGCGCCAUUGUCUCAAGCCGCAGUGGUACAGCGCUUUCUUCUGCUACUUGUUCAGGACCUGGUACCAAACCCAAGGGCAGGCUGAGUCCAGAAUCCAGGGGCUCAGAACAGCAGAGUGCAGGCUUGCCUGGACCCGGCUUCCUGGAAAAACAGGGUUCUGAGGGAGGCCUGGAGGAGCCAAAAAAGAUCUCUCGUUUGCAAUUAGAAGACAAUUAAGACAGGAUUCAGAACAGCUUCGUGUUAAAAGCCAGUCACUGCUGAAUUCCUCAUGGGUAGGAGGAGGAUGGGAAGUGAGGAGGCAUGGCAUGCAUGUGGGAGAAAUCUUAGCUGGUGGCUAAUUGCAUGAUUUAAGUUCCAUAGGGCUCUGCACCCCCUGGGGAGACCCGGCUUCCACACUACAUGCUUAAUCCCUGGAGAAUGUCCCUGUCACUCAGGGGCCUCAGCCAGGCAAUCGGUGCCUCUGGGAGAGAGGGGAUUCCUUCAUCCCAGCCCUCCCCCAGCACCCUCCUCUGUCUCCUCUUAUCACCUGCCUGCCUGUCUGUCUGUCAGGCCAGUUGGUCGUCAGAGCAUAAACAUUUCAGGCUAUGUGCCCACCAGCUCCGGGAUCAGGUGACCUGAUUAUGGAAGGCUACACCGGAGGCCUCUGCAUGCCAGCGUGUCGCCAGGAACAGUGAGAGCCUGUGAUGUGCUGACCUCACAGAGUGGGCACCCGUGCAGCUGGCCUGGGUGAGUGCCCCUCCCUGGUAUGGCUUCUUUGAUCACCCUAGGCCACCCUGCAGGCAUGGGAAGCCCUGCUGGUUCCCCCUCUGGACAGAUGGUAGGUCUACAAGCUGUCAGUGCAGUCCCUUUGCCUCUUGGAACCUCUGUGUCACUUUCUGAAAGUCAGAAGCAGAGCCAGGUGUGGUGGCACAUGCAUGUUUCUUGAUCAGGAGGCGGAGGCAGGAGAAUUGGGGUUUUCAAAGUCAUUUUUGGCUAGGAGUUUGAGGCAAGCCUGGAUCACAUGAGACCCUGACUCAGAAAAACAAAAAGAAAACAAUGGGGUUACUGUGAGGGGGAAAUGAAAAAACAGCCCAAUGUCAUCUGGUUCUGAUGGGACUCAGUAAGCCAGUGUGGGCUGUUUUUAUCGUGGUUUGUGGACUUGCUCUGAGAGGAGGCUGGUAAUCCUCAUACAGUCCCUCUCUGGGUGCCAGCACCCUCUGCAUGCACAAGCCCUGGGUGAAAAGAUACCAUCCCAGAAACAGGCAAAAGAGGAGCAGGGGCAUUGUCAGAGGAACCCGAGAUGACUGAAGAACUCACAGACCUGGAUCUGAGUCCUGGCUCUGCCCAUUGUCACCAAGCUCCUGAGACUGUGUUACCUCACUUCUCAGUGCUUCCUGACUUCCCUCAUCCAGAAGAUGGGCAUGGCAGAUCUUUCCUCCACUGUUGUCAGGCUCAAGUGUGGCUCGGGGUCAUUAUGAUUCAUUACAGCAGCAAAAUUACAGUUAUGAAGUAGCAACAAAAAUAAUUAGGAAGGCUGAGAACCACUGUUCUAAAGUUUGAUGCCCUACAGAAGUGACAAAAUGGCCUUCAGCUUCUCCAUGUCUACAUCCUCCCAGGGUGAAGUCUAAGAGAAAAGCAUGCUCCUCCCACAGUGAUCCUAACAACAUCCUUGUUGCCUGCUCUGGUUGUGAUGAAAAGAUAGCCUCAAACCCAUCUAUAACUAGAAAAUGUGGCACUUCCUCUGCUGAUCUGGUGUCACGUCCACUCUUGGUGAUGUCAACUCUACCUGAGUGCCAAACUGAAACCUGGGAGUUUAUGGCUCCCAAACUGGGAAGUCACAGGGUGCCAGGGCGAGCGGUUUCUGGGCCUAACUACACUGUUCUUUUACUUGGAAAAAAAAAAAUGUCUACCAUGUCCCCAGGGUUUGUCUUAUCAGGUAUGUCUGAGCUCGAAGGACACAGAGCAACAGGCAUUUCAGAACACUUGGCACACAGUAAAGAUAUUUGAAAAAUGUUCACAAAA